CUGGCUGCUUCUACUGGGGUAAGAAAUGAUGAAGCAAUUUGCACUUGUAACUUUCACACUAACAUCUUAUUAAAUAGCUCACAGCCCUCAAGGACUGUUUCAGAAAGGUUAAGCAGCCUCACCAAGCACUUGUACCCAGAUCAUCAUGACAGGAAAAAAAAAAAGGUCAUACGUUUAGACUUGCAUUGCUUUGAAAAGCCGUAUCAGCUACUGCUCCAGUAUCACUGCUUCAGCUUCACAACUACAAUGGAUUGUGGAAUGGUGUGUUAAACAGGGAAAAGAGACAGGUUAAAAAUAGCCCUUUUUUCAUGAGUAGUUUAAUUAUCAGCCAUUAAUUUCCCCUUCCAGUUUGCCGUAUAUAAAUAAGACAGUAGGACAGGAGCAAGGAUCACGCUGGGAAGUAGCUCACUCUAGUCUUGUCAUUGAAAGAAACAAGCAAAUAACUGUAUUUAGAAGUCAGAGCACAAUUUGGCAUCUGAAUUUUCAAGGAAUUGGAAAUCCUGGAUGGAAGAACUCGGUUCUGGUACCUUAUUUUCAAUCUGCUGAUUUUCACCUUGUUUUUUUCACUGCUUGAAAUUCAGCUAUGUAAUUUGAUCAACUUAUUUACUCUCUCAGAAUGUGAUCAGAGGGAAAUCCAUGGGUGACUGAAGAAAUGGAAGUUCAAUUUCACAGAAAAUUCCAAUAUUAACUACCUUUAUUUUCAUUCCACAUCAUAUCCUCCUGUAGCUCAACCAGAGGGAAAGACUACAGCACUGAGGAGCCAGCUGUGUUGGAUACUUGGCUAGAUGAAUCUAAUCGACCUUGUGGGAGACAGUACCUGAAUACAAGUCCUGUGACUGUGCCUAAAUACAAAGGCAGAGGUGAGCACGUGUCUCAUAGAGAAUACCUCACAAUACUUAAGGUAGAUGCCUCAAAAUCAUACUGUGGUGAGUAUAUAUCUUUUAUUGUUUACAGGAUCAUCUUGUCUUCUGGCAUUAUGUCUAUAUCAGGCACAAAGCAUUUCUUAUUUUGUAAGAAAAAGUAUUAUCCUCUCCUUUGCAUUAUAGAAAGAAAGGAAACAUAUGGUAUAGUAUUCAUUAUAUUAGAGAAAUUGAGAUCAAAUAAAUUAAUAAAUUCACCUUGUAGUGGAAAAGUGAUUAGAUCUGUGAUAGUAACCAGUUCUGACUAG
rnacentral:lncRNA from 1 species